CGAGUCUGAAUAGGGCGCAUAGUCUCUGGCAGUAGACCCGAAACCGAGUGAUCUAUCCUUGGCCAGGUUGAAGGUGCGGUAACACGCACUGGAGGACCGAACCCACAUCUGUUGCAAUAGAUGGGGAUGAGCUGAGGAUAGGAGUGAAAGGCUAAACAAACUCGGAGAUAGCUGGUUCUCCUCGAAAGCUAUUUAGGUAGCGCCUCGGACGAAUCUUCCUGGGGGUAGAGCACUGUUAUGGCUAGGGGGUCAUCGCGACUUACCAAACCAUGGCAAACUCCGAAUACCAGGACAGACUAUCCGGGAGACACACGGCGGGUGCUAACGUCCGUCGUGAAAAGGGAAACAACCCAGACCCGCAGCUAAGGUCCC
rnacentral:rRNA from 1 species